AGUGGUAUCAACGCAGAGUACAGCUUGGGAGACAGAGCACCGGGUGCUAACGUCCGGACUCAAGAGGGAAACAACCCAGACCGCCAGCUAAGGUCCCAAAGCAUGAUUAAGUGGGAAACGAUGUGGGAAGGCAUAGACAGCCAGGAUGUUGGCUUAGAAGCAGCCAUCAUUUAAAGAAAGCGUAAUAGCUCACUGGUCGAGUCGGCCUGCGCGGAAGAUGUAACGGGGCUAAAUCAUGCACCGAAGCUGCGGUAGCAAACUUGUUUUGCUAGGUAGGGGAGCGUUCUGUAAGUCGCUGAAGGUAGGUUGAGAAGCCUGCUGGAGAUAUCAGAAGUGCGAAUGUUGACAUAAGUAACGAUAAAGGGAGUGAAAAACUCCCUCGCCGGAAGACCAAGGGUUCCUGUCCAACGUUAAUCGGGGCAGGGUAAGUCGACCCCUAAGGCGAGGCCGAAAGGCGUAGUCGAUGGGAAACGGGUUAAUAUUCCCGUACUGCUUAUAACUACGAAGGGGGGACGGAGAAGGCUAGGUGAGCCGGGUGAUGGUUAUCCCGGUAUAAGUGCGUAGGCUGUUGCGGUAGGUAAAUCCGCUGCAACAUUAAGGUUGAGACACGAACAGGAGACUCUAAGGAGUCGAAGGAGCUGAUGCCAUACUUCCAGGAAAAGCCUCUAAGUGAUGGGUUAUAAGCAAUCGUACCCCAAACCGACACAGGUGGUCGGGUAGAGAAUACCAAGGCGCUUGAGAGAACUCGGGUGAAGGAACUAGGCAAAAUGGUACCGUAACUUCGGGAGAAGGUACACUCUUGGCGGUGAAGUCCCUAGCGGAUGGAGCGGCUGGGAGUCUAAGAGACCAGGUGGCUGCAACUGUUUAUUAAAAACACAGCACUGUGCAAAUUCGUAAGAAGACGUAUACGGUGUGACGCCUGCCCGGUGCUGGAAGGUUAAUUGAUGGGGUUAUCCGCAAGGAGAAGCUCUUGAUCGAAGCCCCAGUAAACGGCGGCCGUAACAAUAACGGUCCUAAGGUAGCGAAAUUCCUUGUCGGGUAAGUUCCGACCUGCACGAAUGGCGUAACGACUUCCCCACUGUCUCCAGGAUAUGCUCAGCGAAAUUGAAUUCUCCGUGAAGAUGCGGAGUACCCGCGGUUAGACGGAAAGACCCCGUACUCUGCGUUGAUA
rnacentral:rRNA from 1 species